CCUACGGGAGGCAGCAGUGAGGAAUAUUGGUCAAUGGCCGGAAGGCUGAACCAGCCAUGCCGCGUGAAGGUCAGUGCCCUAUGGGCGUUAAACUUCUUUUGUGCGGGAGCAAUAAUGGUCACGUGUGGCCAGACGAGAGUACCGUACGAAUAAGCAUCGGCUAACUCCGUGCCAGCAGCCGCGGUAAUACGGGGGAUGCAAGCGUUAUCCGGAUUUAUUGGGGUUAAAGGGUGCGUAGGGUGUGAGGUAAGUCAGCGGUGAAAUGUCCCCGCUCAACGGGGUGAAGUGCCAUUGAUACUGCCUUGCUGGAAUGCGGAUGCCGUGGGAGGAAUGUGUGGUGUAGCGGUGAAAUGCAUAGAUAUCACACAGAACACCGAUUGCGAAGGCAUCUCACGGAUCCGCGAUUGACGCUGAUGCACGAAAGCGUGGGUAUCAAACAGGAUUAGAUACCCCUGUAGUC
rnacentral:rRNA from 1 species